ensembl:misc_RNA Metazoa_SRP Metazoan signal recognition particle RNA
GCUGGGUGUGGUAGCUCACGCCUGUAAUCCUAGCACUUUGGGAGGCUGAGGCAGGCGGAUCACCUGAGGUCAGGGGUUCAAGACCAGCCUGGCCAACAUGGUGAAACCCUGUCUCUA